rnacentral:ncRNA from 1 species
ACUGAUUGGCAAACAAUUAAUUUAGCUGAAGUUAGAAGUUUUUAAGACAGUUUUGUGUUGUAGCAAGAUUGAAAGAAACAAUUAUUGGAGUAUACUGACAUUCCAGAGGUGUUCUUUAUUCCACGUCAAGUAGAUUGUUCUUGCACAAAUGCCAUCUAAGGUCUUUGCACCUUAAACCAUUCUUGCACUAAUAUUAUCACAGGCUGUUGUGGUUUAUAACAUUCUUGUAUUAAUUUGACCUGAUGCUGUUGUUGCACAACAGUUGAACUUGACCCAAGACCUGCUCUCCACAUGGUUGGGGAAAUGUAACCAACCAAACAAGUUUUAUUGAGCAUGAACCUUAUUAAAUUUAUUUUAUGUACAUAAUGUACACAAAUGAAAAUUUUACUUUCGAAACUUUUUUCAGUAAUUUCGAAAAAAAAUUAUUUUGUGCGCUUUUAAGGCAAUUUCCAGAAUUUUUUUAUUUUUAAAAUACUUUUAAAAAUUUGAUUUUUUUUUAAUUUUUACUGCUAGAUUCAUACAAGAACUGGUCUCUGCCAAACCCGAUCUAACAGAGGACACUCUGUCUCACCCGAUCUGUGCUUCAACCUGUAUCCGUCAGAUACGAUCUCUGUUUUACACGGUCUCUGCCAGACUCCGCAUGUCUCAGAGGUUAGGUUGGGUUACGUUAGGUAAAGGUAGGCCCGAGACUGUCAUAAGGAUAUCGGACCUUACUGAGACAGGGUCUUUCAGAGAAUUUGCGACAGUGCCCCGCGUGAUCCGAUCUGAGGACACUGUCAGGCGGGGAGUUUGACUGGGGCGGUACAUCUGUCAAAGGAUAACGCAGGUGUCCUAAGGCCAGCUCAGCGAGGACAGAAACCUCGCGUGGAGCAAAAGGGCAAAAGCUGGCUUGAUCCCGAUGUUCAGUACGCAUAGGGACUGCGAAAGCACGGCCUAUCGAUCCUUUUAGCUUGGAGAGUUUCCAGCAAGAGGUGUCGUCGGUUACGUCGAAGACCGGAUGAUGCAGAUCACUAUACUGACAGUGAUCGUGUGGGGAGAAUUUUUGAAUUUUUUUUUUGAUAUUUUUCCAAAUUUUCAAAAAUUCAAAAAACCUGGAAGUUUUCUAAAAAGCGCACAAAACCAAAAAAAAUUUAAUAUUUUGUAUUCUAAGUUUUUUAAAAAUUUCAAAUUGUUUGCU